rnacentral:rRNA from 1 species
UAGUCCACGCCGUAAACGAUGAGUGCUAGCUGUUGGGACCUUAAGGUCUCAGUGGCGCCGCUAACGCAUUAAGCACUCCGCCUGGGGAGUACGGCCGCAAGGUUAAAACUCAAAGAAAUUGACGGGGACCCGCACAAGCGGUGGAGCAUGUGGUUUAAUUCGAGGCAACGCGAAGAACCUUACCAGGACUUGACAUGCCGGUCGCGGAUUAGAGAGAUCUUUUCCUUCAGUUAGGCUGGACCGUGCACAGGUGCUGCAUGGCUGUCGUCAGCUCGUGUCGUGAGAUGUUGGGUUAAGUCCCGCAACGAGCGCAACCCUCAUCCUUAGUUGCUACCAUUUAGUUGGGCACUCUAAGGAAACUGCCGGGGUCAACCCGGAGGAAGGUGGGGAUGACGUCAAGUCUUCAUGGCCCUUACGUCCUGGGCUACACACGUGCUACAAUGGCAGUGACAAUGCGCAGCCACUCCGCGAGGGGGAGCUAAUCGCAAAAAACUGUCUCAGUUCGGAUUGGA